AUAAUACUCCCUCCGUCCGGAAUUACUUGUCAUCAGAAUGGAUGUGUCUAGAACUAAAAUACAUCUAGAUACAUCCAUUUCAAUGACAAGUAUUUUCGGACGGAGGGAGUAGUAG
rfam:Triticum aestivum genome assembly, contig: Triticum_aestivum_CS42_TGACv1_scaffold_501541_6BL